rnacentral:rRNA from 1 species
GAUGAACGCUAGCGGCAGGCUUAAUACAUGCAAGUCGAGGGGCAGCAUGAUUGUAGCAAUACAAUUGAUGGCGACCGGCAAACGGGUGCGGUACACGUACGCAACUUUCCUUCAACUGGGGAAUAGCCAAGGGAAACUUUGAUUAAUACCCCAUAGUAUAUUGAAAAGGCAACUUUUUAAUAUUAAAGCUCAGGCGGUUGAAGAUGGGCGUGCGUCUGAUUAGGUAGUUGGUGAGGUAAUGGCUCACCAAGCCGACGAUCAGUAACUGGUGUGAGAGCACGACCAGUCAACAGGCCACUGAGAACCGGGCCCGACUCCUACGGGAGGCAGCAGUAAGGAAUAUUGGGCAAUGGACGCAAGUCUAACCCAGCCAUGCCGCGUGGAGGAUGAAGGUCCUCUGGAUUGUAAACUUCUUUUAUCAGGGAAGAAAUCUGUGUAUUCUUACGCAGUUGACGGUACCUGAGGAAUAAGCACCGGCUAACUCCGUGCCAGCAGCCGCCGUAAAAC